CUGGUUGGUUCGAUUUUCAAAAAUAUUAUCCAAAUAUAGCUAAAAAAAAACCAGAUACUCUGAACUAAUAUAUAUCGGACUAAAAAUUGAUUCGAUAUUCGUGUUUUUUCAGUUCAGUUUGCAUCAUCAUCAUCAUUUUGGUGGUUCGAUAGCAUAUUCUCUCAAUCACGAUCUGUUCAAUUUUUUUAUUUCUCUGCCACACAAAUCACACAUUUUGAGCAUUCUCUCUUUUUUUUUUGUUUUCAUCAUUUUUUUUGUUCCAAGUUUUUUUUUGUUUCUAUUGGAAUUUUAAUUUUAAAAAAUAGUGCAAAAAUCCAUCCCAAAUGAUUCUGAACCGAGCCGGCAAUGUUGCUUUUCGAGCUUCGAUUGCUACACAA